rnacentral:rRNA from 1 species
UCCUACGGGAGGCAGCAGCUACGACUCUUCCGCAAUAGUCGAUAGACUGACGGAGCGACGCCGCGUGAGUGCUGAAGGCCUUUAACGGUUGUAAACACUCUUUUAUAUUGGCCGAAUCUCUAGUCUUAGACUAUAUUGACUGUACUUAAUGAAUAAGGUCCGGAUUACUACGUGCCAGCAAGACGCGGUAAUACGUAGGGAACAGAGCGUAGUACGGAAUUAUAGGGCGUAAAGGGUAUGUAAGAGGUCUAUACAGUAAAAUGUGACAAAUCUGGGCUCAACCGAGAUCUUGCGUCUAAUACUGAUAGGCUAGAGUCUCUGAGAGGAAGGCGGAAUUCCUGGUGUAGGGGUGAAAUCUAUAGAUAUCAGGAAGAACACCGGUUGCGAAGGCGGCCUUCUGGCAGAGGACUGACGCUGAGGUACGAAAGUUAGGGUAGCAAACAGGAUUAGAGACCCUGGUAGUCCUAACCGUAAACGUUGUAUACUAGGUGGUUGAAGUAUUGAUCCUUUGACUGCCGCAGCAAACGCAUUAAGUAUACCGCCUGGGGAGUAUGCCGGCAACGGUGAAACUCAAAGGAAUUGACGGGGCCCCGCACAAGCAGUGGAGCAUGUUGCUUAAUUCGAUGAUACGCGAGUAACCUUACCAGGUCUUGACAUAUACCUGUCUGGUGUAGAAAUACAUCAUUGCUUCGGCACGGGUAUACAGGUGCUGCAUGGUUGUCGUCAGCUCGUGCCGUGAGGUGUUGGGUUAAGUCCCGCAACGAGCGCAACCCUUAUUCUUUGUUGCUAACAGGUUAAGCUGAGCACUCUAAGGAGACUGCCGGUGACAAACCGGAGGAAGGUGGGGACGACGUCAAAUCAUCACGGCCCUUAUGACCUGGGCUGCAAACGUGCUACAAUGGGUGGUACAAAGAGUUGCGAGACCGCGAGGUGGAGCUAAUCUCAAAAAACUAUCCUCAGUUCGGAUUGGAGUCUGAAACCCGACUCUAUGAAGUUGGAAUUGCUAGUAAUCGCACAUCAUCAUGGUGCGGUGAAUACGUUCCCGGGGCUUGUACACACCGCCCGUCACAUCACCCGAGUUGAAUAUACCCGAAGUACCUGAGCUAACGGUUUACCGGGG